GCGGGUGUAGUUCAAUGGUAGAACCUCAGCCUUCCAAGCUGCUGACGAGGGUUCGAUUCCCUCCACCCGCU
rnacentral:tRNA from 1 species